AUGUCCAUGAGCGCCCCAGCCGAGCCGUCGUGGCUCCGCCGGGACCUGCUCCCGCACCUCGGGCUCCCGGCGGACCUGCCGGUGCACUUCAUCGCCGAGAAGGCCGUCACCGGCACCGACUUCGACCCGCUGCAGUGUCGGUUCAGCCUCCCGCCCUACGGCGUGAUACACAGCCUGCGCCCCGUCCUCACCGCCGAAGAGCUCCAGGCUGCCAACCUGCGGUACGAGGACGACAACGCGCAGGAGCAAAGGACGACUGGGGAGAGGAGGAAAGAGAGGAGGCACCGCGCCGGCGGGCUGCCCGUGCUGGUGGUCGACCCCCACGCCGGAUCCAUUGAGCUGCGGCUGUCGCGCGGCGCCCACAGCACGACGCUCAAGGGGGCUGGGUAUCUCGAUUUCAUCAACGAGUGCAGCUUCACCGUCCACGACGUCGUCCGGAUCUGGGCCUUCAACCCCCACGCAUCUCCUUCAAACGUUGAGGAAAGCCCCCUCUAUCUUGUCAUCGCCAAGAAACCAACACCCCAGACUUGA
rnacentral:rRNA from 1 species